ACUGCCCCUGAUGAGACGUAAAUGUGACUGUCAUGUCGUUUUUAUGCCAAAAGGAGGCAGAGAGGAACCAGAGGCUGCUUUCUGGUCCAUCUCUGAGCAGCGGAUGAAAGACAAUGACAGCAGCUUGGGGAC